AUUCAGUUGACGAGUCUCAAACAGGACGAAACGCGCGUCCUGGAU
rnacentral:hammerhead_ribozyme from 1 species